AGUGUCUAUGAGUGCUCUGGGACAAGCCAUCCAUCAAGGGUUUUUUCUACUUAUGGCUCAAGAUGCUGGAAUGCGAUCCAGGUCUUCCAUGACAUUGCAGGCCAUAAGCAUCUAUAGAAAAUGAAUGGAUGUAUUAUUGUUGCAAACAGAUAAUCUAGUGUGACAACUUACCUGCCAAAGUGCACAUCCUCUAUUCAACAGUCUACAACUCCGUAAUGAGCUACUGCUGGACAUGAGUCAAAUAUCCAGAAAUGCUGAAAAAGCAAAGAUUUUGGAGGACCUGGGGAUUGUUUUGAAGAUCGGUGGACAGUUUAAUGACUCAUAACAAACAAAUAUAUCAACUUCCUGGAGGUUUCAACAGUUUGCAGAUGCUUUGUGUGAUGUGCAUCAGUGCACAAUGAAUGCUAUGCAUUGGUGGUUACACUGUUCCCCUGAGGCAAAAUAUUUCAAUUUUAACAGAGAAGAGAGGAUAGAAAAACCCUUCAUUGUAACAACAGCAAUGCUCCAACUCCAGCAUGUCUAUAAAGUAUUUCAUUUGAGCUCAUUUUCACUCCUAAUUGAAGGGAAGUAAAAAUUUUACUUGUAAAAUUGCAUUUAUUUUAUAGUACACAACAACUAAUAAUUGUUUCACUUGACAAAAUACGAUGAAUUAAAAGUUAACAGUGUAAAAUCAGUAUAAAAGAGAUGAGUCUGACACUGACUGCGUGUUUGUCAAUAUCUUCAAAUAUCUACAAAUGUAAUCUCAGUGAUCUUUUACAUGUACAGUAUGUUUAAUUAAAAACUAAACAACACACAGAAAGAGAGAGAGAGAAAUAUUCAUAUACAACAGUGUAUUAACAAAAGUGAUUAUAUUUCAAAUAAAUGUAGACAUAAAUAACCUCUUAGUCGUCAUAUUCUAGUUGAAUUUCACAGUUUUAUCUGAAAAAGUAAGACAGUAAUUGGAUUGGAUUCAAUUUAUUGUCAUUACACAUAUACAAGGUGAAUGUAACGAAAUGGAUUAAGAAGAAAAAUACAGCAUAACAUGAGGAAAGUGGUGAGAAAAACAAAUACACAUAAUACAACAUAGACAAGACUUACAACAGUUGCAGACUUGUUGCAGACACUUGGGUCCUUUGAUAAGGGGUUUUAAUCAAUCCAAUUCAAGUUAGUUUAUUUUGUUUGCUUUCUACUGUGUUCCCUGCUGUCUUCAGGAGUGGCGCUGCCAUUGGCGUCUUUUAGUAAUUACUGCUUGGCAUAUUCAAGAACCUUUUCUGUAUU